rnacentral:lncRNA from 1 species
AGUUUUGCACAUUCAACCAUUUAUUCUUUUGUUCAUUGAAUAAACAUGAAUUGAGCACCUACCUUAUUACAUACUCUUCCCUCCAGGUACUCAUAUAGGAUAAUGGGACAAUCCAUGGUUCCAAGCAUGGUUAUGACUGCAGACAUACAGGACUGUGGGAAGGGGUGGCUGAGAAGACAGAGGGGAUUAGUUUACAUGAUACCACUUCUAAGAUGGGAUGAAGAUUCAGAAAGCAUUCUGAAAGAUGGCAGGAAAUGAAGCUGGAGUGAUGGGCUGGAGUUUGGCUACCUCACUACAACUGACUCAAAUCCUCAAAUUAAAGACUUUCUGCUGCAUGUGAUAAGGGUGCCAUUCGAAGGUUAUGUGACAUGACAAAAUUUGUAUUUUAGAAAAAUAAUG